AACGAACGCUGGCGGCAUGCCUAACACAUGCAAGUCGAGCGCCCGUAGCAAUACGGGAGCGGCGCACGGGUGAGUAACGCGUGGGAACCUGCCCAGAGGUUCGGGACAACCGCGGGAAACUGCGGCUGAUACCGGAUGAUUCCUGAGGGACAAAGAUUUAUCGCCUUUGGAGGGGCCCGCGUCGGAUUAGGUAGUUGGUGGGGUAACGGCUCACCAAGCCUAUGAUCCGUAACUGGUCUGAGAGGAUGACCAGUCACACUGGGACUGAGACACGGCCCAGACUCCUACGGGAGGCAGCAGUGGGGAAUAUUGCGCAAUGGGCGAAAGCCUGACGCAGCGACGCCGCGUGCGGGAUGAAGGCCUUCGGGUCGUAAACCGCUGUCGCCAGGGACGAAACAAAUGACGGUACCUGGAAAGGAAGGCACCGGCUAACUCUGUGCCAGCAGCCGCGGUAAU
rnacentral:rRNA from 1 species